CUUGGUCAUUUAGAGGAAGUAAAAGUCGUAACAAGGUCUCCGUAGGUGAACCUGCGGAGGGAUCAUUACAAGUGACCCCGGUUUACCACCGGGAUGUUCAUAACCCUUUGUUGUCCGACUCUGUUGCCUCCGGGGCGACCCUGCCUUCGGGCGGGGGCUCCGGGUGGACACUUCAAACUCUUGCGUAACUUUGCAGUCUGAGUAAACUUAAUUAAUAAAUUAAAACUUUUAACAACGGAUCUCUUGGUUCUGGCAUCGAUGAAGAACGCAGCGAAAUGCGAUAAGUAAUGUGAAUUGCAGAAUUCAGUGAAUCAUCGAAUCUUUGAACGCACAUUGCGCCCCCUGGUAUUCCGGGGGGCAUGCCUGUUCGAGCGUCAUUUCACCACUCAAGCCUCGCUUGGUAUUGGGCAACGCGGUCCGCCGCGUGCCUCAAAUCGACCGGCUGGGUCUUCUGUCCCCUAAGCGUUGUGGAAACUAUUCGCUAAAGGGUGCUCGGGAGGCUGCGCCGUAAAACAAACCCAUUUCUAAGGUUGACCUCGGAUCAGGUAGGGAUACCCGCUGAACUUAAGCAUAUCAAUAAGCGGAGGA
rnacentral:rRNA from 1 species